AACCUGGUUGAUCCUGCCAGUAGUCAUAUGCUUGUCUCAAAGAUUAAGCCAUGCAUGUCUAAGUAUAAACUGCUUUAUACUGUGAAACUGCGAAUGGCUCAUUAAAUCAGUUAUAGUUUAUUUGAUGGUACCUACUUACUCGGAUACCUGUAGUAAUUCUAGAGCUAAUACGUGCGCACAUCCCGACUUCUGGAAGGGACGUAUUUAUUAGAUAAAAGGCCGACCGGGCUUGCCCGACUCCGCGGUGAACUCCAUGA
rnacentral:rRNA from 1 species